CAUCUCAGUAAUGCAGCUAACGCAUUAAGUGUACCGCCUGGGGAGUACGGUCGCAAGAUUAAAACUCAAAGGAAUAGACGGGGACCCGCACAAGCGGUGGAGCAUGUGGUUUAAUUCGAAGAUACGCGAAGAACCUUACCUGGGCUUGAUAUCCUAAGAACCUUAUAGAGAUAUGAGGGUGCUAGCUUGCUAGAACUUAGAGACAGGUGCUGCACGGCUGUCGUCAGCUCGUGUCGUGAGAUGUUGGGUUAAGUCCCGCAACGAGCGCAACCCACGUAUUUAGUUGCUAACGGUUCGGCCGAGCACUCUAAAUAGACUGCCUUCGUAAGGAGGAGGAAGGUGUGGACGACGUCAAGUCAUCAUGGCCCUUAUGCCCAGGGCGACACACGUGCUACAAUGGCAUAUACAAUGAGACGCAAUACCGCGAGGUGGAGCAAAUCUAUAAAAUAUGUCCCAGUUCGGAUUGUUCUCUGCAACUCGAGAGCAUGAAGCCGGAAUCGCUAGUAAUCGUAGAUCAGCCAUGCUACGGUGAAUACGUUCCCGGGUCUUGUACUCACCGCCCGUCACACCAUGGGAGUUGAUUUCACUCGAAGCCGGAAUACUAAACUAGUUACCGUCCACAGUGGAAUCAGCGACUGGGGUGAAGUCGUAACAAGGUAACCGUAGGAGAACCUGCGGUUGGAUCACCUCCUUUCUA
rnacentral:rRNA from 2 species